GGGAACCACUGGAACGGUGGCUAAUACCGGAUGUGCCGGAAGGUGAAAGGCUUGCUGCCUGAAGAUGAGCUCGCGUCCGAUUAGCUAGUAGGUGGGGUAAGAGCCUACCUAGGCGACGAUCGGUAGCUGGUCUGAGAGGAUGACCAGCCACACUGGGACUGAGACACGGCCCAGACUCCUACGGGAGGCAGCAGUGGGGAAUUUUCCGCAAUGGGCGAAAGCCUGACGGAGCAAUACCGCGUGAGGGAGGAAGGCUCUUGGGUUGUAAACCUCUUUUCUCAGGGAAGAACACAAUGACGGUACCUGAGGAAUCAGCAUCGGCUAACUCCGUGCCAGCAGCCGCGGUAAUACGGAGGAUGCAAGCGUUAUCCGGAAUGAUUGGGCGUAAAGCGUCCGCAGGUGGCUGUGUAAGUCUGCUGUCAAAGAGCAAAGCUCAACUUUGUAAAGGCAGUGGAAACUACACGGCUAGAGUGCGUUCGGGGCAGAGGGAAUUCCUGGUGUAGCGGUGAAAUGCGUAGAGAUCAGGAAGAACACCGGUGGCGAAGGCGCUCUGCUAGGCCGCAACUGACACUGAGGGACGAAAGCUAGGGGAGCGAAAGGGAUUAGAUACCC
rnacentral:rRNA from 1 species